rnacentral:rRNA from 1 species
UACAGAGGUCCCAAGCGUUGUUCGGAUCCACUGGGCGUAAAGGGUGCGUAGGUGGUGAGGUAAGUCGGAUGUGAAAGCUCGGAGCUCAACUCCGAAAUGGCAUUGGAAACUACCUCGCUCGAGGGUUGGAGGGGGGACUGGAAUGCUUGGUGUAGCAGUGAAAUGCGUAGAUAUCAAGCGGAACACCAGUGGCGAAGGCGAGUCCCUGGACAACUCCUGACACUGAGGCACGAAAGCUAGGGGAGCAAACAGG